UCAUGCUCCACCCCAUGUUCUGGUCCUUUACCCGCCUGAACUGAUAAAAAAUCCCAUGCACGCCUCAAUAAAGCAUUCCAUCUCCACCCCUACCUUGUCUCCAGACCCAUCUGUGCUGUGUCACGGCCCCAUCCCCCCUCAGACCAUGGCACUUCCCUUAUACUUCUUCAACUGAAUUUAUAUCAUAAACAACCUUCUUAUGCCAUAAAGAACAGGUUUUCUGUUAAUGGAGGCUACUGUUCAGAGGAAAUUGCAUUUUGCCGUAGUUUUGAUGUUUUGCGAAGCCAUGUUACAGAACAGUAAUUUCAGAGCAGAGGAAAGGGAGAAACAGUUUUGCAGAACCAAAUAUUAACCUGGAAACAAAAGGAAUCCAAACUGGGCUAAAAGA